rnacentral:tRNA from 1 species
GGGGUGUUAGCUCAGUUUGUUAGAGCAGAGGACUCAUAAUCCUUUGGUUGCCGGUUGCAGUCCGGCGCACCCUA